rnacentral:rRNA from 1 species
AACAAGGAUUCCCCUAGUAACGGCGAGUGAAGAGGGAAGAGCUCAAAUUUGAAAGCUGGUACCUUCGGUAUCCGCGUUGUAACCUCGAGACACGUUUUCCGUGCGGCGCUAUGGACAAGUUCCUUGGAACAGGACAUCGUAGAGGGUGAAAAUCCCGUACUUGCCAUGGAUGUACCGUGCUUUGCGAUACGUGCUCUAAGAGUCGAGUUGUUUGGGAUUGCAGCUCAAAAUGGGUGGUAGACUCCAUCUAAAGCUAAAUAUCGGGGAGAGACCGAUAGCGAACAAGUACCGUGAGGGAAAGAUGAAAAGCACUUUGGAAAGAGAGUUAAAAGUACGUGAAAUUGUCGAAAGGGAAGCGCUUGAAGUCAGCCAUGCCGCUCAGGACUCAGCCUGGCUUUUGCUUGGUGUAUUUCCUGGGUAGCAAGUCAGCAUUGGUUUGGAUCGUCGGAGAAGCAUAGUCGGAAUGUGGCGCCCUCGGGCGUGUUAUAGCCUUCUAUUGGAUACGACGAUCUAGACCAAGGAACGCAGCGCGCCUUAUG